rnacentral:rRNA from 1 species
UACGUAGGGGGCAAGCGUUGUUCGGAAUUACUGGGCGUAAAGGGCGCGUAGGCGGCAUGGCAAGUCAGGAGUGGAAAGGCCUGGGCUCAACCGAGGAACUGCUUUUGAUACUGCCAAGCUAGAGUGCGGAAGGGGCAACUGGAAUUCCCAGUGUAGCGGUGAAAUGCGUAGAUAUUGGGAAGAACACCUGAGGCGAAGGCGGGUUGCUGGGCCGACACUGACGCUGAGGCGCGAAAGCCAGGGGAGCAAAGCGGG